CCCCUCGUAGUUCAAUGGAUAGAACAGGAGACUUCUAAGCUCUUGAUCCAAGUUCGAUUCUUGGCGAGGGGA
rnacentral:tRNA from 1 species